rnacentral:lncRNA from 1 species
UUUAGUAUAUUUGAUGUAUUGGAGGAAGUUAUUUGAUGUGUUUAUGGAGGUUACAUAUUUAAUAAAUGAUUUUUUUUUUGUAUUUUUUUUAGAAUUUAAGAAUUGAUAGUAAUUGUAACGAUUGAUAAAGGAUAAAAUUGGAUGAAAAAAAUGUCAUACCAUUUUCACCUAUCCCCUUUAUCUAUAGUUUAUCUAUAGGUAUAGAUUUAAGGAUGAUUACAAAAUAUUUUUAAAUUUUAGGUGAAAAAAAAAUUGUUGGUUAAUUAAUGUGCUUUUUU